UGUGUAUGUGUAAUGACAGGAGCAAACGGUACAUUAUUCGACCGUUUCUAAAGUUAUUGGUUAGAAUCCUAACCAACGGAUUAAAUGCUAACCUGUUCAGGAGGUGAUCGGAUGUUGACUGGUAAUUGACUGAUCACACAGUAUGCUAACCUGUUUGUAGGAAACACGGCAAAGUAAAUUGAAUGAGAUGUUACGAUAAAUGAUAAAAGUUACCAUCGGAUACUUUAUCGUAAUAAACGUCAUAGAACUUUAACGGAGUUUCCUGCAUCAUUUGUUCAGUGUUUUGCGGCAAUUCUUUACA